AGAAGUUGAACCUGGAGCAGACUGAGGACUUCUUCAGACAGGAUCCGUGACCCCGUUUGACUGCUGAGCAGCCGCCGUUCAUCCACGCUAUCAGGCCCUUUAAUCAGCAGAACGCCGCCGUGUGUUUGUGGAGCUGAAAUGGAGCGUGGCGGCCGCUGGAGGCUCUCAGGAGAUGGACAGCAGCCACAUUGUCACCCUUUUGUGCUUAACUGUCCGUGAGCUGGAGGAGCUGUGAAGGACGAGGCUGCGUGUUAUCACUGAUGAGAAGUGUCGAGCAGACAAAGAGAGAAGAUGUUCUUUUCUUUUAACUAACAAUUAACCACCAUUAGACACUAAAAGGCUCCCUAAAGGGGCUCACUAGAAGAAGGAAUGAUGGAAACGGAUGGACUCAACGAGCUGUUAAGACUGAGAUAUUUUUACAUUGUGGACAACAAUAAGUGUUAUUAGAGUCUUUCCAUGAAGCUAAAUCUUGACGCUGCCGAGCGGUUAACACCUCCUCUGGUUCUGAAAUGUUCCACUGGUUUGGGUUCUUGCACCGGCUCCCAGAAACCUGCUCACAUUCAGCAGGAAAACGAUGGGAAGCAAAUGAUUGUGCAGAGAAACACCGGUUUGUAAGAUAAUGAGCUGCUGUCAGCCGCUCCCAUACGAAGCCCGAGGAUCGCCAUACUAAGCUUGAAUGCACGUCAAUUACAGCCGCAUUCUCCUCGACCUCAGUGAGUAAAUAAACACCCUGAAACUA